AUUCUGGCCGCAAUAUCUUGAAAUCUACCAAAUCUGUAAAAGCUAUAAUCUCUAAACUUAAAAGAUUUGGCGGUAAUUUUUACCAGUUAGAGGAACCUGUGAUAUAAAUGAUACACCACGUAAAAUCUCACCUAUUUUUAUGCUUACAUACCGUCAUUAUAAAAUAACUUUUAAAAAAUCAGUUAUUUAAAUAAAUUAUACUUUAAUUAUUAGAUCAAGGCGUAGUUAUAAAUAGGAAUUUCCAUGGGUUACAAUAAAACUUUAUUUAUACGAACAAUAAAUUUAAAUAUUUAUUUGAAGGAGGAUUUAAUAGUAAAUUCAUUUUAAUAUGUUAAAUUGAAAAGGAUUUAAAUUGUGUACAAAUCGCCCGUCACUUCCAUUACCAGUGGAAUAAGUCGUAACAUAG
rnacentral:rRNA from 1 species